rnacentral:rRNA from 1 species
AGAGUUUGAUUAUGGCUCAGAACGAACGCUGGCGGCGCGUCUUAAGCAUGCAAGUCGAGCGGUAAGUUAUAGCUUGCUAUAACCUAGAGCGGCGGACUGGUGAGUAACGCGUGGGUGACGUACCCUUUGGACGGGGAUAGCCUGUGGAAACACAGGGUAAUACCGGAUACGGUGUCAUGUGUCAGAGGCAUGACAGGAAAGGUUCUUUUGAACCGCCGAAGGAGCGGCCCGCGUGCUAUUAGUUAGUUGGCGGGGUAACGGCCCACCAAGACGACGAUAGCUACCCGGCCCUAAGAGGGUGAACGGGGCACAUUGGGACUGAGAUACGGCCCAGACUCCUACGGGAGGCAGCAGCUAAGAAUAUUCCGCAAUGGGGGAAACCCUGACGGAGCGACGCCGCGUGGAUGAAUGAAGGCCGGAAGGUUGUAAAAUCCUUUUGGGAGCGAGGAAUAAUGAAAGUGAGAGAAACGCUUUCAGGUGACGGUAGCUCCUGAAUAAGCAACGGCUAAUUACGUGCCAGCCGCCGC